rnacentral:rRNA from 1 species
CCCUUAGACGUUCUGGGCCGCACGCGCGCUACACUGACCAGUGCAACAAGCAUCCGUCCUUGGCCGACAGGCCCGGGCAAUCUUUGAACGCUGGUCGUGAUGGGGAUAGACUUUUGCAAUUUUUGGUCUUCAACGAGGAAUUCCUAGUAAACGCAAGUCAUCAACUUGCAUUGAUUACGUCCCUGCCCUUUGUACACACCGCCCGUCGCUACUACCGAUUGAAUGGUUUAGUGAGGACUCCUGAUUGGCGCCGCCGCCCCGGCAACGGAGCAGCGGACUGCCGAAAAGUUGUUCAAACUUGAUCAUUUAGAGGAAGUAAAAGUCGUAACA